rnacentral:rRNA from 1 species
AUGCGCGCACGACCUCCCCUCCUCCUCCCGCGCUGUUCGCCGCCCCGCAAACUCCGGCAGACGUUAGCCGCCCUUCGCCGCAGGAGCCGUCAUAGGAGCAGCUCGCAUCUGGAGCCGCCGCCCGCGGGAUCCGCUCGCCACUGCAGCCGCCGCCCGCGGGAGCCGGAGCCGCCCCGCCCCUGGAUCCGCUCGCCGCUGGUCGCCGACGGAGCUGCCCCGCCCCUGGAUCCGCUCGCCGCCGGAGCCGCCCGUCGCUCUCCCACUCAGCUUGGCCUCUCAGCGUGCAUGGAUGUGCAGGGUGUAGUGUUGCCGUUUGAUUCAGAGUGGAGAAUGUAUGGAGCUCCCAAGUCUGACCCCUCUACCAGUAAUCCUUUCCACCGAUUCACUUGA